CUCCGGAGCAGCCCCAGCUCUCCGCCAGCUCCGCUUCCCCCCUGCCUGAUCCCGUGCGAUUGUCCCAGUUUCCGGUUUAGAAGCUAAAAAGAGCAGCCCCGGAGCUCCAGGAUGCCGGUGAGAGCAGCCAGGCUCUGCCUGCCCCGGCGGGAUCAGCCCGUUCCUGAGCCGCUCUAAUUAACGCCGGCGGCUUCCACCGGGCCUGAGCCCCCAGGGGCGCUCCCCGUUCCCCGCGGGAUGCGGCGGGGACGGGAGCGGGACAGCGGCAACAGCGGACCAUAGUUUUCUCGGAGCUCCACAGUCUCCUCUCUUUGAAGUUGGACAGAUACAGUAAACACAACAAAUAUAUGAUACAACCCAUCACAGCUGGAUUAAAAAAAAAUACACAAAAAAUAUAAUACAUAAAAAAAUGGAUUUUUAACAUUGUGGACUGACGCAGCUCUAAAAAUGGUGAUUGUAACCCUGGUAAGCUUUACAAAGUCUUUAAAAAAAUAAAACAGUACUUCAUGUGAAAUUCAUAAA